ACGUUAGCGGCGGACGGGUGAGUAACACGUGGGUAACCUACCUAUAAGACUGGGAUAACUUCGGGAAACCGGAGCUAAUACCGGAUAAUAUUUCGAACCGCAUGGUUCGAUAGUGAAAGAUGGUUUUGCUAUCACUUAUAGAUGGACCCGCGCCGUAUUAGCUAGUUGGUAAGGUAACGGCUUACCAAGGCUACGAUACGUAGCCGACCUGAGAGGGUGAUCGGCCACACUGGAACUGAGACACGGUCCAGACUCCUACGGGAGGCAGCAGCA
rnacentral:rRNA from 1 species